CCUACGGGUGGCAGCAGUGAGGAAUAUUGGUCAAUGGACGAGAGUCUGAACCAGCCAAGCAGCGUGAAGGAUGAAUGCCCUAUGGGUUGAAAACUUCUUUUAUAAAGGAAUAAAACGAGGCACGUGUGCCUUUUUGCAUGUACUUUAUGAAUAAGGUUCGGCUAACUCCGUGCCAGCAGCCGCGGUAAUACGGAGGGUGCGAGCGUUAAUCGGAAUUACUGGGCGUAAAGCGCUCGUAGGCGGUAUGUCAAGUCAAGGGUGAAAUCCCCGCGCUCAACGUGGGAACUGCCUUUGAAACUGGCAAACUGGAGUGUGUGAGAGGAUAGUGGAAUUCCAGGUGUAGGAGUGAAAUCCGUAGAUAUCUGGAGGAACAUCAGUGGCGAAGGCGGCUAUCUGGCACAUAACUGACGCUGAGGAGCGAAAGCGUGGGUAGCAAACAGGAUUAGAUACCCGUGUAGUC
rnacentral:rRNA from 1 species